CCUGUAAUUUUAGGGGAUGCCAGAGCAACACUUAAAGUUUGUGAUCCUGGAAACAAAAAUAAACGAAGAUUAAAAUAUAUUACCUCUGAGGGAUUAUUUCCAAGUCUUUCGUGGAUAUCUAGGGAAGGUGCCUGGGAAGAAAUGAAGUGGAUCUGCAUUGGACAAGGAGAAAUAGUUAGAUGAUACAUCGUUCUUACCUCUUGUUCAAGGUGGAAGAUAAAGUCCUAUAAGCAUGGGGCCGGAGACAAUAGUGGCACUGACUUUUAAGCUUCACCGGCAUUGAUGUAAUCUAGACUGCAAAACGUUUUCUUCAUUUUUCUAAAUGUAUAGCAUGAUUAGAUCAUUUUAUGUUUCUCUUUAUUAUAAUCUUGCUAUGUUCCAUUAGGCUCUGGGGGACAAUAAAAUUUGAACAUGCCAACA
rnacentral:lncRNA from 1 species